rnacentral:rRNA from 1 species
UUCCAUCUGGAAGAAUCUGGAGACAGGUGCUGCAUGGCUGUCGUCAGCUCGUGUCGUGAGAUGUUGGGUUAAGUCCCGCAACGAGCGCAACCCUUGCCUUUAGUUGCCAGCAGUUCGGCUGGGCACUCUAAAGGGACUGCCGGUGUUAAACCGGAGGAAGGUGGGGAUGACGUCAAGUCCUCAUGGCCUUUAUGACCAGGGCUACACACGUACUACAAUGGCCGAUACAAAGGGCAGCGACACUGCGAGGUGAAGCCAAUCCCGUAAAAUCGGUCUCAGUCCGGAUUGGAGUCUGCAACUCGACUCCAUGAAGUUGGAAUCGCUAGUAAUCGUGGAUCAGCAUGCCACAGUGAAUACGUUCCCGGGCCUU